rnacentral:rRNA from 1 species
UACGUAGGGGGCGAGCGUUGCCCGAAUUUACUGGGCGUAAAGCGCACGUAGGCGGCUCCGUAAGUCUGGUGUGAAAUCUCACGGCUCAACCGAGAGGCUGCACCAGAUACUGCGGAGCUCGAGGACGGGAGAGGAGAUUGGAAUUCCCGGUGUAGCGGUGAAAUGCAUUGAUAUCGGGAGGAACACCAGUGGCGAAGGCGGAUCUCUGGCCCGUUGCUGACGCUGAGGUGCGAAAGCUGGGGGAGCGAAAGGGAUUAGAUACCCCUGUAGUCCCAGCCCUAAACGAUGGGCGCUAGAUGUCGGGGAACACUCCUCGGCGUCGAAGCUAACGCAUUAAGCGCCCCGCCUGGGGAGUACGGCCGCAGGGUUGAAACUCAAAGGAAUUGACGGGGGCCCGCACAAGCGGUGGAGCAUGUGGAUUAAUUCGAUACAAACCGAAGAACCUUACCUGGGCUUGACAUCCACGAGCAUCUCCCUAGAAAUAGGGAGCCUCGAUGGGGAAACCCAUCGACCCGUGGACACCGGUUGCAUGGCUGUCGUCAGCUCGUGCCGUGAGGUGUUGGGUUAAGUCCCGCAACGAGCGCAACCCUUGUCCUCUGUUGCCAGCGGGUCAUGCCGGGCACUCGGAGGAGACUGCCGUGGUCAACACGGAGGAAGGUGGGGACGACGUCAAGUCAGCAUGGCGGUUACGUCCAGGGCGUCACACAUGCUACAAUGGGUGGUACAAAGGGCAGCCAACGCGCGAGCGGGAGCGAAUCCCAAAAAACCACCCUCAGUUGGGAUCGCAGUCUGCAACUCGACUGCGUGAACGCGGAAUCGCUAGUAACGGCGGGUCAGCCAUACCGCCGUGAAUACGUUCCCGGGCC